UACGGGGGGGGCAAGCGUUGUUCGGAAUUACUGGGCGUAAAGGGCUCGUAGGUGGCCAACUAAGUCAGACGUGAAAUCCCUCGGCUUAACCGGGGAACUGCGUCUGAUACUGGAUGGCUUGAGUUUGGGAGAGGGAUGCGGAAUUCCAGGUGUAGCGGUGAAAUGCGUAGAUAUCUGGAGGAACACCGGUGGCGAAGGCGGCGACCUGGGUCGAUACUGACGCUGAGGUGCGAAAGCGUGGGGAGCAAACAGG
rnacentral:rRNA from 1 species